GACAGAGGGUGCAAACGUUGUUCGGAAUUACUGGGCGUAAAGGCGCGUGGUAGGCGGCAGGGCAUGUCGGAUGUGAAAUCCCGUGGCUCAACCACGGAAGUGCACCCGAAACUGCCCAGCUUGAGGCUCGGAGAGGAAGGCGGAAUGCUUGGUGUAGAGGUGAAAUUCGUAGAUAUCAAGCGGAACACCGGUGGCGAAAGGCGGGCC
rnacentral:rRNA from 1 species